rnacentral:rRNA from 1 species
CAUCCUUGAUCGGAAGGUCCGGGUAAUCUUUUGAAACUUCAUCGUGCUGGGGAUAGUCCCUUGCAAUUUUUGGACUUAAACGAGGAAUUCCUAGUAAGCGUGAGUCAUCAACUCGCGUUGAUUACGUCCCUGCCCUUUGUACACACCGCCCGUCGCUACUACCGAUUGAAUGGCUUAGUGAAUCCUUCGGAUUGGCUAUUUUUUUCUGGCAACAGAAUUAAACUGCUAAAAAGUUGGGCAAACUUGGUCAUUUAGAGGAAGUAAAAGUCGUAACAAGGUUUCCGUAGGUGAACCUGCGGAAGGAUCAUUAAAAAAUAUCGCUCGAUUGAGAGUGAUUUAAUAAUCAUCCUACCCUUUGUGAAUUUGUUGUUUGUAAUAAUUUUUUUUGAUUUUAAAAAAAAAUUAUUUAUGGUUUUGUCUAUCCCUAAAAUUGGUUUGUUGUGAAAUGAAUCAAAUUUAGGGAAUAGGCUUUCAUAAAUAAGUUUUUUUUAAAGUCUUAAAGACCUUUUUUAAAAUUAAACUUUUGUUGUAUUCAUUUGUCUAAAUUUUUUUUUAAAUAAUUUAAAAACAACUUUUGACAAUGGAUCUCUUGGUUCUCGCAACGAUGAAGAACGCAGCAAAAUGCGAUAAGUAAUGUGAAUUGCAGAAUACGUGAAUCAUCAAAUCUUCGAACGCAUAUUGCAC